UGUCCAUGGUCUUCCUUCCCCGUCUCUCCCCUACGAAGGGCGCCUCGGCGCCCUGGAACACAGCUCUGCCGGGUGCGGCGCUGACUACUGACUGUUGGUCGCGUUUAUGGUCUUAAC
ensembl:misc_RNA